ensembl:snoRNA SNORD58 Small nucleolar RNA SNORD58
UUGCUGUGAUGACAGUCUUAGGACACCUUUGGAUUGACCGUGAAAAAAACCAUGUUCUGAGCAAC